rnacentral:rRNA from 1 species
GGCGGCAGGCCUAACACAUGCAAGUCGAGCGGUAACAUUUCUAGCUUGCUAGAAGAUGACGAGCGGCGGACGGGUGAGUAAUGCUUGGGAACAUGCCUUUAGGUGGGGGACAACCAUUGGAAACGAUGGCUAAUACCGCAUAAUGUCUACGGACCAAAGGGGGCUUCGGCUCUCGCCUUUAGAUUGGCCCAAGUGGGAUUAGCUAGUUGGUGAGGUAAUGGCUCACCAAGGCGACGAUCCCUAGCUGGUUUGAGAGGAUGAUCAGCCACACUGGAACUGAGACACGGUCCAGACUCCUACGGGAGGCAGCAGUGGGGAAUAUUGCACAAUGGGCGCAAGCCUGAUGCAGCCAUGCCGCGUGUGUGAAGAAGGCCUUCGGGUUGUAAAGCACUUUCAGUUGUGAGGAAAGGUUAGUAGUUAAUACCUGCUAGCUGUGACGUUAGCAACAGAAGAAGCACCGGCUAACUCCGUGCCAGCAGCCGCGGUAAUACGGAGGGUGCGAGCGUUAAUCGGAAUUACUGGGCGUAAAGCGUACGCAGGCGGUUUGUUAAGCGAGAUGUGAAAGCCCCGGGCUCAACCUGGGAACUGCAUUUCGAACUGGCAAACUAGAGUGUGAUAGAGGGUGGUAGAAUUUCAGGUGUAGCGGUGAAAUGCGUAGAGAUCUGAAGGAAUACCGAUGGCGAAGGCAGCCACCUGGGUCAACACUGACGCUCAUGUACGAAAGCGUGGGGAGCAAACGGGAUUAGAUACCCCGGUAGUCCACGCCGUAAACGAUGUCUACUAGGAGUUCGGUUUUUCGGAACUGUCUUCCAAAGCUAACGCAUUAAGUAGACCGCCUGGGGAGUACGGCCGCAAGGUUAAAACUCAAAUGAAUUGACGGGGGCCCGCACAAGCGGUGGAGCAUGUGGUUUAAUUCGAUGCACCGCGAAGAACCUUACCUACACUUGACAUCCAGAGAACUUACUAGAGAUAGUUUGGUGCCUUCGGGAACUCUGAAACAGGUGCUGCAUGGCUGUCGUCA